GGUAGUACUGUGGAGACCCUGGAUUACCAGCUGAUUCCCGGAAGCUCUGAAGACCAAACCAAACAUAUUUAGUUCAGUUCGUUUUUAGAUGUUGUAAGUUAGAGACAAAAAUAUAUAUAUCAGUCCGUUUAUAUCUUUGUUAGUUUGCGUCGCUACAGUACAACCUUUAAGCCAGUUUUCUAUAUUUCAUAAGAACGGGUGCCUUAGAUUCAGGUCUAGCUAAUUUUUUAAAUUCUUUUUCUCCACGUGAAAUUAUGAAUGCUGUAAUAUCCAAAAUCAUAUUUUUACAACACUAUUAAAACCCUUAUGUUAUUGAAUAAUAACAGAAUUUCUUCAUUAAAUAGUUUUCAUGGUACACUUGUUUAAACUCUGAUUUCAUUCCAAUCCUGAACUCCAAGAUGAAAACUACUCUUCUAGUUCUCUUCUUCAUCUCUACUAUUGGAUAUACUCUAUCCCUGCAGUGCUGCCCGGCACAGGAAGUAGCUGGAGAUGAUGGUGAUGUAAGAUGUGGAACCUACUUGUUACAU